UUCGGUCUCCUCCUCUGAGAAUAGCAUGGAGGCUGCCCUCAGCCUGCUAAUGAUCCCGGAUAACCGUGUAAACCUGGCUUUGCCACCAAAGCUUUAACCUAGACAUGCAUCAACAUCAGCAUCGUUAUAAUACUUGUGGAUGCAGUGAUCCAUUUCCACACAAGCAUAUUUGUGUUUUGUUUUUUGCCUAACCUUCUAAAAUUUCCAUACCAGACGCACCAAAGGGCAAACUGUGAAGCAAUUUCUCCUCUGCACGCUAAACACUUUAACAAAAAUGCACAUGAAUUCAACUUCGUUUGCUUUCCGACGAGCAGAGGAUGAGAGCAAAGUCAAAUGAGGACAAACUUUCGCAGCAAAAUUCAAGCCAAGCACAAGCUAGCACAGUAUGGAUCCAGUGCUGUGAAAAUGUUUUUGUGGCACAUGAGCAGGCUCCCAUACACAUUCAUAAACUCAUUUUAAUACCAAGUCAGCAGCACAGAUUACCUCCCAUUUCAAUAGCGUACAGCCGCUUUAUGGUUGAUUCUGUUAUUGUUUUGUUGUUCGUGAGCGCAUUCGUUUUGAACAUUUGCACUAAAAUACACCUAAUUUACUUGAUAAUUGUCUCCUGUCCACUGAGGAACGUUUUAAUUGCCGAGUCUCGGAGAGAAAGGACAGCGGGGGAGGGAACGACGACGUGCAAUCUGGAUUUCAAAGCUAGUAGCGACCCUGACUGGCGAGAAAAGCCAUCCACCCAUCGCCGUUUCUCCUUCCCGUUGAAUGCCGUCAAUUUUGUUUGCAUCUUUUUUUUUUUUUCGUCCACAGUACAAAGAUGUGAAGUUCUUUUACCUUAUUCAGUAUCUUAGUCUUAACUGCAGAAUUGUCUUCUGUCGCCUGAUUGCCAAAACGUUAGCCAAAGAAGAAACAACGGUUAGCUCUCUGUCAUUUUAAAUUCACAUCGUAAGAACAUUCCCUUUUGAUUUGAUCCAUACAGUCCCUGAAUUGUUUUUAGCAUAGCAGCUCAAUCGAUUGAUUGCCUAAUGGUACCGUAUCAGCUCAGCUGACAUCUGGAACUCCCCUACACUAACAUACUGAGAGUUUCUGCUUUUCUUUGCCAGCCCUUGAGGGACACUAUAGCAGCUUCCCUGCACUGUUGACCUGGAUGAAGUUGCCUACAUUUGACCACUUUCAGGAGGAUUUAACUAUGAUGACUAGACCGUUUUAACUUUAGUAGAUGGUUUGUUCACCUCUAACUACUGUUCAUUGCCGUGCUGCCUGGCAGCGUAGCCACCCAUAGCUGUCAAGCUCGGGUUCUCUGGUGUCAUUCCCACCUCCCUUCAGGCUUCUGCAGUGUGUGGUUCAGGCUUAUUCUGGCAUUUUUAGCUUUCAUUAACUGCGCUGGAAGGCCGUCAGUGGUGUUUUUAAUAUAUUUUACCCAUAGCUUUUGGUAAUUUAAAAGGAAGAUAUUAACAUUGUGCCUCAUCUCCCACCGAGCCUGUCUUGACCUUUUCUCUAUAAAUGAAAUCGUUUGAAAAACUGCUUUGUGUAUGUCUGAGCAUGUAAAGCUAAAUUGAUAGUUAAAGUCUUUUUUUGAAAAUCGUACCUGAAUAUUAGAGGAACUAAGGAAAAACUGACUCAUUGAGUAUUGAAAGGAUAGUACUAUGCGAGUUUAUUUCCGCCAUGGAAACACAACAAAAAUUGUGACGUUUGAAUUACACAAUUUUGACUUUUUCCUCACAAUUAUGUGAAAAAGUCAAUUGUGAGAUGUACACUCAGAAUUCUGAGAAAAAAAAGUCAAUUGCAAGAUGUAAACUUGCAAUUAUAAGUUUAUAACUCGAAAUUGUGAGAUGUCAACUCACAAUGCUGAGGAAAAAAAUUAGAAUUGUGAGAGAUAAACUCACAAUUUGUACAAAAAAGGUCAAAAUUGCAAUGCAGAUAUUAAGACGCAAUUACCUUUUUAAUUUUUUUUUUAUUCCUUGGUGGAAAUAAGCUUCCAUGGUUUACUCUGUUCAAAAUGCAGCAUAUGAAAAAAUUAUGUUAGGAGUCAAAAAUAAAUCGGAACAUGUAGAUGGCCCUUCAUGAUUUGGGGUUCACUAAAAGUGGUUGUGGUGUUUCUAUCAAAAUACAACCUGUACUUUAAAAAAAAAAAA